rnacentral:tRNA from 1 species
AUGUAGGAAGUGAGAAAUUUACAUGCGGUUUCGGCCCGUUUUUUGGUGGUGAAAGUCCGCCCCUGCUUA